rnacentral:rRNA from 1 species
UCCGUAGGUGGAUAAUUAAGUCAGAGGUGAAAUCCUGCAGCUUAACUGUAGAAUUGCCUUUGAUACUGGUUGUCUUGAGUUAUUAUGAAGUGGUUAGAAUAUGUAGUGUAGCGGUGAAAUGCAUAGAUAUUACAUAGAAUACCAAUUGCGAAGGCAGAUCACUAAUAAUAUACUGACACUGAUGGACGAAAGCGUGGGGAGCGAACAGGAUUAGAUACCCUGGUAG